AGCCUGGGCGACAGAGCGAGACUCCGUCUCAAAAACAAAAACAAAAAUUCUCAAACUCUAAAAUUGACUUCAGGCUGGGCAUAGUGGCUAACGCCUAUAAUCUCAGCACUUUGAGAGGCUAAGGUGGGAGGAUUACUUGAGCCUAGGAGUUUGAGACCAGCCUGGGCUACAUGGUGAGACCCCAUCUCUUAAAAAAAAAAAAUUCCGUGGAACACUUAUAGAAUAUGUUAGAUAGGUCAUUUUUUUAGUGCAGUUUACAAUGGUUUAUUCAACAUAGCAAAAACUAUCUGCUGAGAAAAAUUUAGAACAGACAUGAGUUGUGCAAAAAGCAAAAAGAACUUCACUCAAAAGCAUUUUUUGCUUUAAAAUUUGGUAGUUAAAAACAGGGCUUCCUUUCAGUUGUUUCAUUUUGUUUGGAAAUAUUUACUUUUUAGUCUUAAUUAUAUUUGACAUAACUUACUUCUUAAAGAAGAAGGGUAAUAAUACCCCAAUUCUUAUAAGUUUAAUUUUUCUUGGUGAGGACUUAUUCAAAAUCAACUUUAAAAAAACCACUCAGGCCAGGUGCGGUGGCUCACACCUGUAAUCCCAGCACUUUGGGAGGCUGAGGCAGGUGGAUCACUUGAGGUCAGGAGUUCAAGACUAGCCCGGCCAACAUGGUGAAACCCCAUCUCUAAUAAAUACAAAAAUUAGCCAGGCACAGUGGCACGUGCCUGUAAUCCCAGCUACUCAGGAUCGUGAGGCAGGAGCAUUGCUUGAACCUGGGAGGCGAAGGUUUCAGUGAGCCAAGAUCAUGCCACUACACUCCAGCCUGGGUGACAGAGCGAGACUCAGACCAUGUCCUCUCCCUCUCACUCCCCGCAAAAAGAGAAGAACAUGGCAAAUGGCAGUUACAGCGAAGAAACACACUCAGGAAGGAGGCUUCAAAAUCGUUUUUUCAAAGUCUACUGUGUGCCCUGUUUUAAGUGCUGAGAAAACAGGAAAGGCCAAGAAAGACAAAGUUCCUGCCCUUGUGGAGCUUACAAAUAAGCACGGGGAGAAAAGAAAACAAGCACAUACAUACAGACAUGAUCAUCAGAAGUGAGAUGGAACAGCAACAAUCAGUGUCGCAAUCAGAUGAGAGGGCCAGGGGAUGGGGACAGUGGUGGUGAUUGGGAGGGUUGGGCAGACUGGCUGGCUGAGAUGGACUUCUCUGAGGCGGGGGCAUUUAAUCUAAGAUGCCAACAAUGAGUCAGCCAUGAGAAAAUGUGGGAGAGGAGCCUUUCAAAUGAAGACGCGUGCAAAUGCUGUCACCAACCUCUCUCACUCUGAUGACACAAAAUGUACUGACAGCACUGAGCUACCAUGUGUGCCUAUUAGAAAUCAUAUUUACAUUUCCAGUCUUUUGGAUUUGAGACAUCUGGUACUGAUAUCUGUAUCUUCUAGAUGUUUCAAUAGGGGGUCCAUUAGAAAAUCUGAGUUAUAAAAAAAAUUAAAAACAUAGGGGAUAAAGAGAAUGAAAAUAACAAGAAAGCAAUAUUAAAACACACAUACAGUUUACAUUUAAAUGCCCCAAAGGAGAUGUGUUGGAGCUGUUUGGGGAUCCAUCCAGCCAAAUAUAACCACACACCAAGAGGUUUUGUUAGGGGACAUGAAAGUAACUAUAACAGAAUAGGAAAACCAAAUUUACACACUUGUAUGUGGAUCAUUUAGAAUAUAAACAAUUCACUCUGAAAAAAAGUUUUAUAAAUUCCUCUGGUAUUGACAUAAACUAAGCAUAAUAAACUCAAGUGUGAAAUUAGAUUUAUUUGUAAUGACAAGGUCAGUUUGAGAACCUGCCUUCAGUGAUAGUGAUGCUU
rnacentral:lncRNA from 1 species